GAGGGGCCGGGCGGGGCGGGACCGCAGCGCUCCGCCUCAUGCACCGCACCGAGCGGGAGUUUAAGCCGCCACGGGCGGGGGCUGAGGCGCCGGCUCCUUGUGAGCGGAGAGGAGCGAAGGAGCCGAUCCCGAGUGAACAAAUGUAAAUACCGUCACCGAAGCCCCGUUGUCUGUCAGGGGACGAGCGCUGACUCGCCGCUCUCCGCCGUCCCGGCCGGGUAGAACGCCGGGUAGAACGCCGGGUAGAACGCCGGGUAGAACGCUGUGUAGAACGCUGUGUAGAACGCCGGGUAGAACGCCGGGUAGAACGCUGGGCCGCGCUCCCCGCGCCGUGGAAGCCGGCGGCGUUCGGGAGCGCGAGAUUCGUGUGACGGGCGCGGGGCCGCGCUGCGCUGUGAGCGCCGAGGUUUGCUGUAAACUGCCUACCGUAGCUAUAAUGACACCAGCCCUCAGAGAGGCAGCAACAAAAGGUCAUGGUAUCCACUUGUCACCUUCUUUGUCCUCUAGAGCUAUGGAGUCUGAUACAACUUUGUGCAUGGAAAAUUCCAGAGCAGUGGAAGAGAAGAUAAAAGAGGACUCCAUUGCACGGAUUACUUGCUCGGUCCUGGGGUUCCCCACUGCUGAGCCCAGCCUCAGGAAUAAUAUCUUCAGCGUGCAGCAUUUUGCUUCUCCGCCAUCCUCCAAGCACUAUCAGUCUGUCUUGUUAAUGAGUACAAAUUCUGCGUUUAGCAGCAAAACCGGUAAGCAGAUGAAAUCAGGAGAGCCUGAGUGCUCCAGGAUGAGAAAAGCAUUACAUAAUGGCGCCAACACAUCGUUUGGGCAGAUCAGUCAUUCAGGACCUGAGCAACAGGUCAAAGGGGAAGCUUUUUCAGAGACCACAUCUCCAAAUUUGGCAGAAACGCAAAGACUUGUGGAUUCAAAUGUAACCGAAUCCAGCAACGCAGAAGAAAUGAGGCUCUUAAAUGAUAAAUGGUACAAGAAGAAUGGUUUUUUGGGGAGGGCUUUGGGAGUCUGCACUGAAACAAUAAAAGGGGAUUUAUUACACCAAAUUCUUCACGGGCCUUCAGAAGGGAUUUUGAGCUGCACCCGGGAGGAGGUGUACGCUCGCUUACUCCAGUGUGUCACUAAGCAACAAAUGGAGAUCAGCCGGGCCAAAAGAACUCAGAAACGUUUACAAAUGCUCCUGGCAAAGCAUGUUAUCAAACACUGUGAUCAGCAGCUGAAGUGCUUCGUAAAACAUCAGCUUCAAAGAAUGAAGGUUUUACACAAACCAGCCAGGUUUUCGAGCAAUAGUUCCCUCAGGUGUGCGGAAGGUUGGCCGGAAAACACUGCAGCUACUUUGGAAAGUAGUUCAAGUGCGGAUGUACAGAAUGGAGUUUGCGUUGCACCGGGGGAGAUCCGGGGGUUUGCGCUUUCGGCUGGAGGGCUGCUGUCUCGCGUGGAAAAGGAUCUGGACUCUGAUGCAACGUGUAGCAGCUCAGAUGAAGACUACGAUGGACAGACUGUAAGAACAGCUGUGGAAGCCAGCUAUACUUCUGAAUGGAAGUGGCUUGCAGACAGAGCUAGAAUUGGCAGCCGUUGGACAUGGCUUCAAGCCCAGAUUUCAGAACUAGAAUACAAAAUCCAACAACUAACUGACCUUCACAGGCAGAUACGUGCCACCAAGGGGAUGGUGAUCUUAGAAGAAUUCCCAUUUCCAAAAGACAUUUUGAAGAAGCAAAUACAGUUGACAGACCAAGAAGCUUUAUUAAACGCCACAGGGAAUUCGCAAGCUGCCAUUGAGAGACAGGAUUCUUUGCCGGAGCAUGACUUUGAAAUGUCACCCAGCAGUCCUACCCUGCUUUUACGAAACAUAGAGAAACAGAGUGCACAACUGAGUGAAAUCAUCAGUAGCCUCAUUGCUCCGCUCAACCUGUCUCCAGCUUCUUCUCUCUCAUCCAAAACUUGCAGGCACAGACAGCUGGUCAAUGGCAUCUCCUUCAGGGCUUCAGACAACAGGGAAGUAUCGUCUUCGAGCAACUGGUUGCUUGAUCAUCAGCACAUCAAGAAAAGAAGAAGGGACAGGACAAGACUAAGAUCUUUCUCUGUGACUAAUGUCAGCACAUCUGCCCGAACAAGGCCACUUCACAGUUUCCAGAAGAGAAAACUCUACAGAAUGCACGGUGCCUAUGACUGGAAUCAGCAGACUUCAUCAUUUAGAGAUACCUCCUAUCUGUACAGAACUCAGUUACCAUGUGCGGUGCCAGCUUCAGCAUUGAGCAGCAGCGAGUACAGUUCAGAAUCUAAAAUGCUGGACUACGUGCAAGAGCUGGACUCUUCCUUCCAUCCAGUCCUAUCAUUCCCUUCAGAUAUUCCUCUUCACAUAUACUUUGAAACAUUGUUAAGGAAGGAUGACAUCAAGGGAGAACCUGCUGAUGCCUCGUAUCCUGGAGUGGAAUUUAAAAUAGCUCCAGAAAAUGACUAUAAUCAUCGUAAUGUUGCUCUUAAACGAUGGAACAAUAGCUGUUUAUCUAAUUCCAAAUCUCAAUCAGUGUCAGGAACAUCUGAGCAGCUGUCGGAAGGAAGAAAGAAAAGACAUCUAAGUGAGACAGCAGUGGGCGACCGUAGCACCAGGUUUGAGACAUUCUCCUUUCAACAUGCAGAACCAGAAGCGCCUGGCAGUUUUGCAGCCGUGACCAAUAUCAAUGCCAUGUCUAGGCCCACUCACAGCAAUUCAUCACAGCAUAACUCCAGGAGGCGGCUCAGAAGUGAGAGCUCGUAUGAUAUAGACAACAUUGUUAUUCCAAUGUCACUGGUGGCACCAUCAAAGUUGGAGAAACUACAGUACAAAGAAAUCCUGACGCCAAGCUGGAGAGUCAUUGAAUUAGAGCCUUUGGAAAGAUCUCAUGCAGAUGAAGAAGAGGCAGAAGAUCUGUCAGAUGAAGCGUUUUCCUCACGUCAUACAAAAUACGAAGAAAGAGAGCGAGCGAGGUGGUCGCUGUGGGAGCAGAGCCGCUGGCCCAGAAGGAAUAGCAGAUCUUACAGCAAAAAUGCUGACAGUCGACACGGCCAAGACGCAGUGCAGAAGGACCACCCGGGCAGCUCCUGUGCCUCGCUGCACUGCGCUGCUGAACCUGUUCCCGACCUGACUUCUGAAGCCCACAGCUCUGUUUGUUCAGGGAUUGCACAACUCUGCAGGGAGAGCCAGGAAGCAAAGUCUGGGCUGUGGGAACUUCGAGUUUUUCCACUAAAAGAUGAAGAGGUGGAAGCUUUACUGUGCCAAGAUCAAGUAACAAAUCAGACUGAAAUGUCAAGCGCAGCUUUCCCCAGCGACUCUCCCUGUGCUCCGUGUACACCCCUUGCUUUGCCAGACAACGGCCCCCCACCACGAAAACCAUCGACAGAAGAGUCAGAAGACAGCGAAAAUGUUUGCCUGGGAAUCAACAGUACAAGAAAGCAAAGGUGACAGGGAGUAAUGUGGUUCAUUAAGAAAGCCAAUUAAGGUGGAGAAAAGUGUAAGGCAGGAUAAAUCCCAAAGACAACACUUCCUUCUUCCUGAACCCCAAGAGAAAGUAAUUAUUUCAAGCUGGAAGUCUAAUAUUCCCAGUGUUGGGAAUGGGCACACAUAAAUUGCUGGCAGCAUUCACUGCUUUCUGUUGUCAUAUCGCCACAUUUGUUAGUGAUCAUCCUUUCUUGUCUUGUUUGUUUUCAAAUGCGUUUCUGGUUCCGGUCGAUUCUGGUGUGGCAGGAUACGCUGUCUACCUUAAACCAACAACUUCAACUGAACACAGAAAAACUACUGGACAGUGUAGUGGGGAGGAACAAUAACUACUUGUUGUUUUCCUGCUUGGCAUGAACAUGUGGCAGAAAAUCCACCUCUCUUUAAAAUGUGUGUGUGUAACCUGAGCGUAAGAGAAAGGCAGGUGAGCAGUUUGAAAGCAGGAGCUGUGGAAGCUUUGCCUUUAGCUUAAAACCUGUGCUCAGCUUUCAGUAGUGCCAGGACAUGUUUUGUAUAGAUGUCCUCAAGCAGUACAAUAGACAUAAACCACUGCAUUUCAACAGGCCACAUAUCUGCUAUUCAGAAAGCAGGGAUCCUGUUUGUUGUAUGGGUAAAGAAUUGAAAGAGAAGAGGAGCCCUCUGAAUAUCGCAUUCUGGGUCAUCUCACUUCUUUAGUCCUUCAGCAGCAAAGGAGGCUCAUCAUAUUUUGCUUUAAUAUGUUAAAGACAAAAAAGUCUUGUAAUUUCUGUACAGUGCCUUGCAAGAGUCUCUAAGUAUGCCAACAUUUGGUGACUAGCUGGAAAGGAAGAGGUGGCUGAUGCUUAAAAGACCAGGAAGGGAAAAAGCCCCAAAGCUCUCCACUGUGAUGCUGGGUAGAGUUUUAAUUUCCCAGCAGGUAAAGAAAAGCGAGUUGUUUCAAACUUGCAUCUCAGUAGGGUAGUUUGGAAUCUUACCUGCAAUCUCAAGAGGUAUUAACAAAGCUGAAGCAUUGAAUGUACGUAUCAUUUACCAACAGGAAGUUUUUCUGUGUAGGACAGUUGAAGGCAAUAUUAUAGGAGUCUGUUUUUGUGCAAAAGUUUCUUCUAUGUGUCAAACCUGGGACUGGACACAUGACCCAGGUACAGCGUCAGUUCUUUUUUUGUUCGUCACAGCGACAGGAAAUAUACACUGGACAUCUGGAAGCAGUUCAGUCAAGUUUCAACACUACAACCUAUUGCUACAUUGUAGUUUAUUGCACAUUCUGAUUAUUUUUUUAAACUUCUUUUUUUUUUUAACACUGGUUUGUCUUAAACUUGAAUCUUGCCUCAAUGUCUGAUACUAUAAUCUUUGAUGCAAGGUUGGUUUUUUUAAUUAAAAGUUAUUUCUAUAUAUAUAUA